rnacentral:ribozyme from 1 species
ACAAAAUUAAAACCGGCUAUUUUUUUCGCACUUUUGUUUCUUAUUAUUUUCCUUUUCCAUCCUCUCUUUUAUUUGUUUCCCUUCU